rnacentral:rRNA from 1 species
AGUGAUCGCUGGCGGUAGGCCUAACACAUGCAAGUCGAACCGCAGCACAGUAAGAGCUUGCUCUUACGGGUGGCGCGUGGCGGACGGGUGAGGAAUACAUCGGAAUCUACUUUUUCGUGGGGGAUAACGUAGGUAAACUUACGCUACUACCGCAUACUCCCUACGGGUGAAAGCAGGGGAUCUUCGGACCUUGCGCGAUUGAAUGAGCCGAUGUCGGAUUAGCUAGUUGGCGGGGUAAAGGCCCACCAAGGCGACGAUCCGUAGCUGGUCUGAGAGGAUGAUCAGCCACACUGGAACUGAGACACGGUCCAGACUCCUACGGGAGGCAGCAGUGGGGAAUAUUGGACAAUGGGCGCAAGCCUGAUCCAGCCAUACCGCGUGGGUGAAGAAGGCCUUCGGGUUGUAAAGCCCUUUUGUUGGGAAAGAAAAGCAGCAGGUUAAUACACCGCUGUUCGGACGGUACCCAAAGAAUAAGCACCGGCUAACUUCGUG